rfam:Asian citrus Psyllid, Diaphorina citri - Florida Strain, whole genome shotgun sequence.
GCUCCCAUGGCGUAGUGGUCACUGCGCUCGCCUUGCACGCGGGAUACCCGGGUUCGAUUCCCGGCGGGGUCA